rnacentral:rRNA from 3 species
AAUACCCAGCCAACACCAUCCAGUUUGCUUGGGA